CUAUUAGCAACGUUAUCUUACCAGUGAAAUUAAAGAUGAUCCUCCAGAAUACUAAAAGGAUUUGUCUUACUGCAGCCAUCCAAGAAACAAAGAAAAGGUGCCACUCCUGGUUGGCAGAAGAGAGGCAACAAAGGUGCAACCUCCUCAACACGAAUGUCCCCCUAUAUCUUACAGAAAGUAUAGAACGACACAUCGAAAAUACUAGAAACAAGCUAAGACAAAGCCACAAUAAAGAAACUUAAAUGGGCCCUAAGGAAACAAAAGGUCUAUAGAAGAAUAACACAGUUGGGUCUUGACAAGGUUAUGACAGUACUUAGCAAUAUAGAGAUUCCCUCUUUUGUGAAAGAGCUUUUACAAAAAAGCCCAGCAUGUGUCACUUGACGACACCCUGACACAGUUGACAGUUGACGAUGUCCCGACGGUUGAAGAAUUGCUGAGAAACGUAGACGAACCUGAGAACAGUAAGCAUCGGUAUAGAUGGAAUGUUAGAGACACUUUAAAAGAAAGUUCUGAUAGACAAAGAAACAAGGAAAGUACUCAUGAAGCGGCCCUCAUCAGAAAGACCAUAAAAUGGGCCAA
rnacentral:lncRNA from 1 species